ACCAAAAAGAGCCAAACGUGCAAGUUGUAUAUCUCUCUCACGACCACGGACCCAAAGAAUAUCGUAUAACUUACUGACAGCAUGAGUUAGCUUGAAAAGAUAAGUUACCACAGUAGAUGUCUCUUGAAAGCGAAAAGCAUUCUUCAACACAUCAGGAUACUGUCCAAGGAGACGAACCAAAUCAUAAGCAUCAGGUUCAGUAAGCAACUCCAAGUUAGCACCCAUUAUUUCUUCAUCGGUGUAAUUU